rnacentral:misc_RNA from 1 species
AAUUGGGAUUACCAAUUCAAGGAGGAAUGACUGAUGAAGGCCAAGCUGGAAAAAAAGAUCUCUGGCAAUCAAAAACUGAUGUUCAUCUCUCAAUCACAAAAACUCACUCAAUAUUAAAUCAGAGGGAACAAGAUCUUUGUCUUUGGUGUGAAGAAAUGUACACAUUGGAUCAUAUUUGUGACAAAGAACCAAUGUAGGUCGCCACUAUAAAUGAUGUAGAAGAUGAGGAAGUCAUUGGAGCUUUUGAAUUCAAUGAAGAAAAUGGGAAAAAUGAUGAUGUUAUUGAGGACUUCUCCUGGUCUUGUGAAAAGAAAUCAAAGAUUCAACGAAGUUUUGAUGAAAUAAAAGAAAUUGAUGAGGAAAAAUUUACAGAAAAGCAUUAGGAAUUGGUGACAUUUUCUUCUGGAAAAACUGAAGAAUAUCUGGCUAAGUAUUUUCAUUCACCUAACCCUUUGCCUCCAUA